rnacentral:rRNA from 1 species
GUACGAGUUUGAUCAUGGCUCAGAGCGAACGCUAGCGGCGGGCUUAACACAUGCAAGUCGAGCGGAGAGCUUCGGCUCUCAGCGGCGAACGGGUGAGUAACACGUAGGUCACGUACCCUUUGAUGGGGAAUAACCUAGGGAAACCUGGGCUAAUACCGCAUAUGUCCUUCGGGAUGAAAGCCUUCGGGCGUCAGAGGAUCGGCCUGCGGCCCAUUAUUUAAUCCUAGUUGGUAGGGUAAUGGCCUACCAAGGGUACGAUGGGUAGCUGGUCUGAGAGGAUGAUCAGCCACACUGGAACUGAGACACGGUUCAGACUCCUACGGGAGGCAGCAGUGGGGAAUAUUGGACAAUGGGCGAAAGCCUGAUCCAGCCACGCCGCGUGGGUGAUGAAGGCCUUCGGGUUGUAAAGCCCUGUCGGGAGGGACGAAUCAAUGACGGUACCUCCCAAGAAAGCACCGGCUAACUCCGUG